rnacentral:rRNA from 1 species
AUGUCGGCGCCGGAGGAGGGCGACGCCGCCGCCUCGGGAUCGUCGGCGCCGCCGCCCCCCGCGCCCGCGCCCGCGCCGCCGCCGAUGGCCAUGGCGGAGCCGGGCGCAAUGGGGCCCGAGGAGGCCGCCGCCAGGAAGCGCUACGAGGCGCUGAUGCAGGUGCGGGCCAAGGCGCUCAAGGGCAAGGGCGCCUGGUACUGGGGCCACCUGGAGCCCGUCCUCGUGCCGCCGCCGGCCUCCGGGGCGCCCCCCAAGGCCGCCCGCCUCCGAUGCGCGCUCUGCGCCGCGACGUUCUCCGCCUCCAACCCCUCCCGCACCGCCACCGAGCACCUCAAGCGCGGCGCCUGCCCUAAUUUCGCGGCGGCGCAGGGCGCGCCGCCGCCGCCGCCGCCCCCGCCCCCGCCGCAGAAUCAGCAUCAGCAGUUGCAGCUCGUCGCCGUCUCGUCCCCCGCCUCAUCGAUCCGCCGCCACUCCACCGGCGGCGGCGGCGGCGGCGGCCGCAAGCGCCACGCGCUCGCCGCGGCCUACGCGUCCGUCGAGGCCGCCUCGCACCAGCACCACCUGCUCUCCGGCGGCCGGGGCGACCUCGCCCCGCUCGCCAUGCUGGAGGACAGCGUCAAGCGCCUCAAGUCGCCCUCGGCGUCGCCGGGCGCGAUGCUGCCGCGGCCGCAGGCCGAGGCCGCGCUCUCGCUGCUCGCCGACUGGUUCCUCGAGUCGUCCGGCAGCGCCUCCCUCUCCGCGGUCGAGCACCCCAAGCUCAAGAACUUCCUGCGCCAGGUUGGGCUGCCGGAGAUAUCGCGGGCCGACCUCGCCGGCGCGCGCCUGGACGCGCGCUUCGCCGAGGCCCGCGCCGACGCCGCCGCGCGCUUCCGUGAGGCGCGGUUCUUCCAGCUCGCGGCCGACGGGCUGCGCGAGCAGGUGAUCACCCUCUCUGUCAACCUCCCCAACGACACGUCCGUGUUCCACCGAGCCGUGCCCAUGCCCGCGCCGGCGUCGGCGUCCCCUGACUACGCCCAGGAGCUGUUCCUGGACGCGGCAUCGUCCGUCUCCGCCUCCUCCGGCGACAUUCGGCAUUGCGCCGGCAUCGUCGCCGACCGCUUCGGCUCCAAGACUCUGCGUGAUCUCGAGACCAAGCACCAUUGGAUGGUGAACCUUACCUGCCAAGUCCAUGGCCUGUCCCGCUUGGUAAGCGACAUGGCGCGCGAGCUCCCACUCUUCAACAACGCUGCGUCAAAUUGCGCCAAGAUCGCCAGCUACUUCAACACCACGCCCUCCGUGCGCGCGCUGCUGCACAAGCACCAAGUCCAGGAGCACGGGCACGCCUUCCUCCUGCCCAUUGCCGCUCCGCCGUAUAAUGGCGGGGAAUUUGCCGCCGCGUUCGUGAUGCUCGAGAGCAUCCUGACCUCGGCGCGGCCGCUCCAGCUCGCCGUGCUCGAGGAGUCCUACAAGGUGGUCUGCAUCGACGACCCUGCCGCGAGGGAGAUUGCGGCCAUGGUGCAAAAUGUGGCGUUCUGGACCGAGGUCGAGGCG